rnacentral:rRNA from 1 species
UACGGAGGGUGCAAGCGUUAAUCGGAAUUACUGGGCGUAAAGCGCGCGUAGGCGGUUUGGUCAGUUGGAUGUGAAAGCCCCGGGCUUAACCUGGGAACUGCAUUCAAUACUGCCAGACUAGAGUACGGAGAGAGGGGGUAGAAUUUCUAGUGUAGCGGUGAAAUGCGUAGAUAUUAGAAGGAAUACCAGUGGCGAAGGCGGCCCCCUGGCUCGAUACUGACGCUGAGGUGCGAAAAGCGUGGGGAGCAAACAGAUUAGAUACCCGUGUAGUC